AACGAACGCUGGCGGCGCGCCUAAUACAUGCAAGUCGAGCGAGAAGACGUAGCAAUACGUUUGUAAAGCGGCGAACGGGUGAGGAAUACAUGGGUAACCUACCCUCGAGUGGGAAUAACUAGCCGAAAGGUUAGCUAAUACCGCGUACGCUCCUUGGACUUCGGUUCAGGGAGGAAAGCGAUACCGUGGGUAUCGCGCUCUUGGAUGGGCUCAUGUCCUAUCAGCUUGUUGGUGAGGAACGGCUCACCAAGGCUUCGACGGGUAGCUGGUCUGAGAGGACGAUCAGCCACACUGGCACUGCGACACGGGCCAGACUCCUACGGGAGCAGCAGUAAGGAAUAUUGCGCAAUGGGCGAAAGCCUGACGCAGCGACGCCGCGUGGGGGAUGAAGGUCUUCGGA
rnacentral:rRNA from 1 species